UGGGGAAUAUUGCACAAUGGGGGGAAACCCUGAUGCAGCGACGCCGCGUGAGCGAAGAAGUAUUUCGGUAUGUAAAGCUCUAUCAGCAGGGAAGAAGAAAUGACGGUACCUGACUAAGAAGCCCCGGCUAACUACGUGCCAGCAGCCGCGGUAAUACGUAGGGGGCAAGCGUUAUCCGGAUUUACUGGGUGUAAAGGGAGCGCAGACGGCAUGGCAAGCCAGAUGUGAAAGGUGGGGGCUCAACCCCCAAGCUGCAUUUGGAACUGUCAAGCUAGAGUAUCGGAGAGGUAAGUGGAAUUCCUAGUGUAGCGGUGAAAUGCGUAGAUAUUAGGAGGAACACCAGUGGCGAAGGCGGCUUACUGGACGAUAACUGACGUUGAGGCUCGAAAGCGU
rnacentral:rRNA from 1 species